ensembl:lncRNA
AAAGUUCUCCACAGCAACAUAAAGGGUUCAACCAGAGAGGUGUUUACACUAAACCAUACGGGUUGGUUUAUAUAGGCUCAUGUUAGAACAAAUCUUUGGCAUCAUUUUUUUCACAUCAAUAAAAUACUAAAAAUGAAAUAAUAUACAAAAUAUAUUAACUUCUUUUCUCAGUUCAAAACGACAACUUAAUGUAAACAGAGUCCAAUUUAUAGUGAAAAGGGUAUCAACAAGCAAAUGGUUCUGACACAGAGCAUAUGACCAGCAAAUGGUUCUGACACAGAGCAUAUGACCAGCAAAUGCAUAUGACCAGCAAAUGGUUCUGAAACAGAGCAUAUGACCAGCAAAUGGUUCUGACACAGAGCAUAUGACCAGCAAAUGGUUCUGAUACAGAGCAUAUGACCAGCAAAUGGUUCUGACACAGAGCAUAUGACCAGCAAAUGGUUCUGAAACAGAGCAUAUGACCAGCAAAUGGUUCUGAAACAGAGCAUAUGACCAGCAAAUGGUUCUGAUACAGAGCAUAUGACCAGCAAAUGCACUGUGAGAGAAGGAAGAAAAUAAGUAUAAUUUGAAGAUGGUGAAGGACUGUAGAGUUUGAAUACAACACUCGUCUCACAUUCCAGUCAAAAACAAUAAUUUAGAUUCCUGCUCUGACACACACACACACAGAGAGAGAGAGAGAGAACUAACUGGUAUCAACACAUGUCACCAUCCCAAUAGAUGCAGGCUGAAGUUUAAAUUAGGGACACAUACAAAACAUGUAAAAAGACAUUCAGACCUCAGAAAUGUGAGAUCCUUAAGCAAGGAGGGGGAAAAACAGCACACUUCAAAAUAACACUGGGGGUUAUUUAGCACGAUCAACAAAUAGAAGGACAGAUGCAAGGCAGAUAUGGCUCUCUGUCUCCACGGAUGUGUUUCUGUAUAUAACUACUCAACCAUUUACAAGACGCUCAGAUGCUCCUGGUAGAAACCAGCUACCAUGGAGGCUCGGUAGAAAUAAAUAGACUGAAAAAGAGACUAGAAUCCUCAGAAUGUAUGCCAUGUUAAAACAGGGUGAAGGGUCAGACUCUAGAUAGCCUAAUUCUCGGAUCCGAGUGGGGAGCAUUCCAUCAGGGAAGGAACGUCAGUCGAUUAGCCCGGCUUGUCAGCAGAGGGUGGUGGGACAGCGGCAUUCUGGGUAUCGACUGUCUGGGACCCAAAACAAUAACCCGGCUGUGUUCCAAAUGUCAUCUUAUUCCCUGUAUCGUCAGGGUUCUCCAAUUAUGUUUUACUUGUUGAACAUUAUAGACAGUAUAAAAAAACACCAGCAAAAUCAGCUCCAAGUGGUUUUAAUUUGGUUAAUCUGUUCCAAAGUACACCCACCCCAUAAUAGAGAUAUAUAUCUGAUCUAUACUAAUGUAAGCAAGGUUUAUAAUAUGAUCGUGUUAUAAUCAAUCGGGGGGUUCUUGCGGUCAAUUUGCAAUCUACAAAUCAUUUGUUAUUAUGUUGCGGCCCUCCCCUGACCAUCCGCUCAAGAAGAAAAUCGGCCUGCGGCUGAAUCUAGUUGAUGAUCCCUGCCCUCUAUAGGGCACUAAUUAUAACCAGGGCACUACAUGGGGAAUAGGGAUGCUAUUUGGGACACAGCCUGGGCAUCUCAGACAUCAGGCCCAGUGGUGUGAACGGCAGCCUCUCCUCUUCCUCGUCCUCUGUUUCUCAAAGAGGAAGAGCAGUCAGGUCAGACAGACAUCCACCGUUACCCCACCCUCCAGUCUAAACAUGGCCCUUUCCAGUGGUAAAGCUGG